rnacentral:rRNA from 1 species
AGUCUGGUGCCAGCAGCCGCGGUAAUUCCAGCUCCGGUAGCGUAUAUUAAAGUUGUUGCAGUUUAAAAGCUCGUAGUUGGACGUCUGGCGUGGUUUUUUGGGCGGGUGCCGCCCUUUUGCGGCGCACCACUGCCUUUUUAAAAAGCCUGCCAUCCUGCCGGAGAGGCCGCCUGCCCUUUACUGGGACGGGGCGCGCCGGUCCGGCUCGUUUACUUUGAAAAAAUUAGAGUGUUCAAAGCAGGCUUACGCCUCUGAAUAUAUUAGCAUGGAUAAUAAGAUAGGACUUUUGUUUUAUUUUGUUGGUUUCUAAAACGAAAGUAAUGAUUGAUAGGGACAGUUGGGGGUGCUAGUAUUUGGCGGCCAGAGGUGAAAUUCUUGGAUUCGCUAAAGACUAACUAAUGCGAAAGCAUUCACCAAGGAUGUCUUCUUUAAUCAAGAACGAAAGUUGGGGGAUCGAAGAGGAUCAGAUACCCUCGUAGUCUCAACCAUAAACGAUACCGACUAGGGAUCGGCGGGCGCUGUUACCGCGUUCACUCGCGGUUUUUGGCCCCGUCGGCACCUUGUGAGAAAUCAAAGUCUUUGGGUUCCGGGGGGAGUAUGGUCGCAAGGCUGAAACUUAAAGGAAUUGACGGAAGGGCACCACCAGGAGUGGAGCCUGCGGCUUAAUUUGACCCAACACGGGAAAACUUACCAGGUCCAGACAUAGUGAGGAUUGACAGAUUGAAGAUCUUUCUUGAUUCUAUGGGUGGUGGUGUAUGGCCGUUCUUAGUUGGUGGAGUGAUUUGUCUGGUUUAUUCCGUUAACGAACGAGACCUCGACCUGCUUAAUAGGACCCCCUGCACUCGCUGCAGGGCGGCGCCUUCUAAGAGGGACUAUCGGUGCUUAGCCGGUGGAAGUUCGAGGCAAUAACAGGUCUGUGAUGCCCUUAGAUGUUCUGGGCCGCACGCGCGCUACACUGACGCAUUCAUCAAGCCUACAACCUUGGCCGAGAGGCCUGGGUAAUCUUUUGAACGUGCGUCGUGAUGGGGAUAGAUUAUUGCAAUCCUUAAUCUUCAACGAGGAAUUCCUAGUAAACGCACGUCAUCAGCGUGCAUUGAUUACGUCCCUGCCCUUUGUACACACCGCCCGUCGCUACUACCGAUUGAAUGCUUUAGUGAGGCGCAUGGAUCUCCCCUCGCGGUGGCAACACCGCGCGGGGAGAAAAGUGCUCCAAACUUGAACAUUUAGAGGAAGUAAAAGUCGUAACAAGGU